rnacentral:rRNA from 1 species
AGUUUGAUCAUGGCUCAAGAACGAACGCUGGCGGCAUGCCUAACACAUGCAAGUCGAACGAGACCUUCGGGUCUAGUGGCGCACGGGUGCGUAACGCGUGGGAAUCUGCCCUUGGGUUCGGAAUAACAGUUGGAAACGACUGCUAAUACCGGAUGAUGACGUAAGUCCAAAGAUUUAUCGCCCAAGGAUGAGCCCGCGUAGGAUUAGCUAGUUGGUGAGGUAAAGGCUCACCAAGGCGACGAUCCUUAGCUGGUCUGAGAGGAUGAUCAGCCACACUGGGACUGAGACACGGCCCAGACUCCUACGGGAGGCAGCAGUGGGGAAUAUUGGACAAUGGGCGAAAGCCUGAUCCAGCAAUGCCGCGUGAGUGAUGAAGGCCUUAGGGUUGUAAAGCUCUUUUACCCGGGAUGAUAAUGACAGUACCGGGAGAAUAAGCUCCGGCUAACUCCGUG